rnacentral:rRNA from 1 species
CAGGGAUUGCCUCAGUAACGGCGAGUGAAGCGGCAACAGCUCAAAUUUGAAAUCUGACCCCCUCGGGGCCCGAGUUGUAAUUUGUAGAGGGUGUUUCGGGCGCGGCGCCGGUCCAAGUUCCUUGGAACAGGACGUCACAGAGGGUGAGAAUCCCGUACGUGACCGGCGAUCAAGCCCAUGUGAAGCCCCUUCGACGAGUCGAGUUGUUUGGGAAUGCAGCUCCAAAUGGGUGGUAAAUUUCAUCUAAAGCUAAAUAUUGGCCAGAGACCGAUAGCGGACAAGUAGAGUGAUCGAAAGAUGAAAAGCACUUUGGAAAGAGAGUCAAACAGUACGUGAAAUUGUUGAAAGGGAAGCGCUUGCAAUCAGACCGGUCCGGGGGCGAUCAGCCGCUGCUCGUCAGCGGUGCACGCGCCCUCGAUCCGGCCAGCAUCGGUUUGGGCGGCGGGAAAAAAGGCCCGGGAAUGUAGCUUCCUUCGGGGAGUCUUAUAGCCCGGGUCGGCAUGCCGCCCGCCUGGACCGAGGACCGCGCUUCGGCUAGGAUGCUGGCGUAAUGGUUGCAAGCGACCCGUCUUGAAACACGGACCAAGGAGUCUAACAUCUAUGCGAGUGUUUGGGUGUCAAACCCGGGCGCGGAAUGAAAGUGAACGGAGGUGGGAACCCGUCAGACGGCGCACCAUCGACCGAUCCAGAUGUCUUCGGAUGGAUUUGAGUACGAGCAUAGCUGUUGGGACCCGAAAGAUGGUGAACUAUGCCCGGAUAGGGUGAAGCCAGAGGAAACUCUGGUGGAGGCUCGCAGCGGUUCUGACGUGCAAAUCGAUCGUCAA